CCAUAUGGUCGACCUGCAGGCGGCCGCACUAGUGAUUUGAUUAAGCCAUGCAAGUCGAGAGGGUUCGGCCCUCGGCGUACUGCUCAGUAACACGUGGAUAACCUGCCCUAGGGAAGGGGAUAAUCCCGGGAAACUGGGGAUAAUACCCUAUAGGUUACAGAUGCUGGAAUGCUCUGUAACCCAAAGUUCCGGCGCCCUAGGAUGGAUCUGCGGCCGAUUAGGUUGUUGUUGGGGUAAUGGCCCAACAAGCCAGUAAUCGGUACGGGUUGUGGGAGCAAGAGCCCGGAGUUGGAUUCUGAGACACGAAUCCAGGCCCUACGGGGCGCAGCAGGCGCGAAAACUUUACAAUGCGGGCAACCGUGAUAAGGGAACCUCGAGUGCCUGUAAAUGCAGGCUGUUCAGAUGCCUAAAACACAUCUGGAGAAAGGGCCGGGCAAGACCGGUGCCAGCCGCCGCGGUAAUACCGGCGGCUCGAGUGGUGGCCACUUUUAUUGGGCUUAAAGCGUUCGUAGCUGGGUUGUUAAGUCUCUUGGGAAAUCUGGCGGCUUAACCGUCAGGCGUCUAAGGGAUACUGGCAAUCUUGGAACCGGGAGAGGUGAGGGGUACUUCGGGGGUAGGAGUGAAAUCCUGUAAUCCUCGAGGGACCACCUGUGGCGAAGGCGCCUCACCAGAACGGCUUCGACAGUGAGGGACGAAAGCUGGGGGAGCAAACCGGAUUAGAUACCCGGGUAGUCCCAGCCGUAAACUAUGCGCGUUAGGUGUAUCGGUGACCACGAGUUACCGAGGUGCCGAAGGGAAACCGUGAAACGUGCCGCCUGGGAAGUACGGUCGCAAGGCUGAAACUUAAAGGAAUUGGCGGGGGAGCAAAUCCCGCGGCCA
rnacentral:rRNA from 1 species